rnacentral:rRNA from 1 species
GUGCACCAGGCGAGAAUUUUUCUCAAUGGGCGAAAGCCUGAAGGAGCGACGCCGCGUGGAGGAUGAAGGCUUUCGGGUCGUAAACUCCUGUCAUUUGAGAACAAGUGUAGCCAAAUAACUACUGGCUACUUGAUAGUAUCAGAAGAGGAAGGGACGGCUAACUCUGUGCCAGCAGCCGCGGUAAUACAGAGGUCCCAAGCGUUGUUCGGAUUCAUUGGGCGUAAAGGGUGCGUAAGUGGCGCCGUAAGUGGGGUGUGAAAUUUCGGAGCUUAACUCCGAAACUGCAUUCCAUACUGCGGUGCUUGAGGACUGGAGAGGAGACUGGAAUUCAUGGUGUAGCAGUGAAAUGCGUAGAGAUCAUGAGGAAGACCAGUGGCGAAGGCGGGUCUCUGGACAGUUCCUGACACUGAGGCACGAAGGCUAGGGGAGCGGAACGGGAUUAGAUACCCCUGUAGU